rnacentral:rRNA from 1 species
AUUGAACGCUGGCGGCAGGCCUAACACAUGCAAGUCGAGCGGAUGAAGGGAGCUUGCUCCUGGAUUCAGCGGCGGACGGGUGAGUAAUGCCUAGGAAUCUGCCUGGUAGUGGGGGAUAACGUCCGGAAACGGGCGCUAAUACCGCAUACGUCCUGCGGGAGAAAGUGGGGGAUCUUCGGACCUCACGCUAUCAGAUGAGCCUAGGUCGGAUUAGCUAGUUGGUGGGGUAAAGGCCUACCAAGGCGACGAUCCGUAACUGGUCUGAGAGGAUGAUCAGUCACACUGGAACUGAGACACGGUCCAGACUCCUACGGGAGGCAGCAGUGGGGAAUAUUGGACAAUGGGCGAAAGCCUGAUCCAGCCAUGCCGCGUGUGUGAAGAAGGUCUUCGGAUUGUAAAGCACUUUAAGUUGGGAGGAAGGGCAGUAAGUUAAUACCUUGCUGUUUUGACGUUACCAAAAGAAUAAACACCGGCUAACUUCGU